rnacentral:rRNA from 1 species
GAUGAACGCUAGCUACAGGCUUAACACAUGCAAGUCGAGGGGAAACGACAUCGAAAGCUUGCUUUUGAUGGGCGUCGACCGGCGCACGGGUGAGUAACGCGUAUCCAACCUGCCCAUCACUUGGGAAUAACCUUGCGAAAGUAAGACUAAUACCCAAUGACAUCCCACGAAGACAUCUGAAUGGGAUUAAAGAUUUAUCGGUGAUGGAUGGGGAUGCGUCUGAUUAGCUUGUUGGCGGGGUAACGGCCCACCAAGGCAACGAUCAGUAGGGGUUCUGAGAGGAAGGUCCCCCACAUUGGAACUGAGACACGGUCCAAACUCCUACGGGGGGCAGCAGUGAGGAAUAUUGGUCAAUGGGCGAGAGCCUGAACCAGCCAAGUAGCGUGCAGGAGGACGGCCCUAUGGGUUGUAAACUGCUUUUAUAAGGGAAUAAAGUGGGUCUCGUGAGACUUUUUGCAUGUACCUUAUGAAUAAGGACCGGCUAAUUCCGUG